UACGAAGGGGGCUAGCGUUGCUCGGAAUCACUGGGCGUAAAGGGUGCGUAGGCGGGUCUUUAAGUCAGGGGUGAAAUCCUGGAGCUCAACUCCAGAACUGCCUUUGAUACUGAAGAUCUUGAGUUCGGGAGAGGUGAGUGGAACUGCGAGUGUAGAGGUGAAAUUCGUAGAUAUUCGCACGAACACCAGUGGCGAAGGCGGCUCACUGGCCCGAUACUGACGCUGAGGCACGAAAGCGUGGGGAGCAAACAGG
rnacentral:rRNA from 1 species